AAGCUGCUCCUGCCUCAUGUCACCAAUGGCAGUGGCCCUCAUCCUCGUUGGUGGUUGUUGGCUGCGAGCAGGGCACAGAAACUGCCCCGACCCUCCCUGUCGCUGCACCCCAGCCAGGGGGUGUCCCUGGGGGACAAUGUCACCCUGCGGUGCAAACUGCCUCAGCCGGCUGCCUGGGUCCGACUCUUUUGGUACCAAAAUCCAACAUACAUCGAGCAGAAGGACAAAACGCAGGAAAUGGCAGAGUUCUCCUUGACUGGAAUUAAGCAGGUAGAUGCAGUGAAAUAUCAGUGCCAGUACCAGGGGUUGGAGCAACCAGGGACAUCAAAUCAGAGUAACCCCGUGGAGCUGUUGGUGACAGAUCACAGGUAUCCCCCACCUGGCAUUUCCCUGAGCCCCAAGAGCAUGUGGAGAUGGGGAGCACAUCACCAUCCAGUGCUGGAACAAGAAGUAUGGGCCGCCUUCCUCCUGCACAAGGAUGGGCACUCAGCCCUAUCCAGGACCAGGAACCCGAUGAUGGGGCAUGCCACCUUCACCCUCUUUGGGGUGACCCCAGCUGACUCUGGCACCUAUAGAUGCUCCUACUGCAUCAGGGGCUGCUGCCUUCUGUUCUCACCCCUUGGGGAUAAUGUGACCCUGGAAGUGAUUCCCAGACCUGCAAUCCCAGGUGUCAAUGGGGGUCCCAGCAGGAACCUGGUGGCAGCAGUGUCGGGGGGCUGUGCUGCUGCCAUUGUCAUCAUCAUCGUCGUCACUGCCUCUUUGUUCCUUGUCGCCCAGAGAAGACGAAUGCAGUGUGAUUUGAGGCCUGGUGCCACCUCCAGAAGCCCUGAGGCCGUGCAGUUCCAGGUGUCCCCCGGUGACAGCGAGGGUCUGACCUAUGCCCAGCUGCAAGCUGUGACCCCAGCACCCACCCCCCCGCCUCUUCUACCACCCUGAACCACCCAUUAUCUACGCCGAGGUGGGCACGCGGGACCCGCUGAUGUCCCCAGAUUUGUACGCAAACACGGGUGUGUUGUGUGCACACAUGGACUUCAAGGGUGCACAGUGCCAGUGUGCUCAGUGUGCUCACCAUCACGUGUGAAUUACAGCCAUGUACCUGUGCGUGUGAACACGUGGAUGUGUAUUAAACGGGUGUGCACCAUCCCAUGUGCACAACAGGUGU
rnacentral:lncRNA from 7 species